ACCUUUGAAUUUUCCUUUGUCAAGAUAUGACUGUAUUUAUUGUAUGUAUCAUGUGAUAAUGAGUUUAUAAUUGUGUAAUUAUAACUGUGUAUUAAUUAUAAGACUGUUCAUAUUAUGUGUUAUAUGAAAUGUUAUUACUGCAGAUGUUAUGUAUUUGAUUAUUUCUAUAUGUAUCAUCUAUGUUAUUGUAUGUUCUAUAAUGUAGUAGUAAACAUUCCAAUGUUAUGAAUGAAAUUCAUAAGAAGGAAAUAGAAAGCUUCCGGUGGAAGGUUUUCCCAGUAAUUAUGACGAUGGUCAAACGUCAUACAGGUACCACUUGUGAGUCAGGUUUUCUUAGUAUUUAUCCCUGAAUAGGAAGCCUCAUGACCAUAAAAGGAGAAAGGCCCAACAUCAAUGGGGUAAAACGUAAACAUUUACCGUUAGAGGGUCAGACACUUUCCAAGAAGAAUCAGAGUUCUGUUUCUGACCAUUUCCGGGGGUAGAGAGUAAAUAGCUCUUAACCAAUCAAAUGCAAGGGACAGAAUGAGUGACCCAGCAUUAGCCAAUGAUAUUUAGAGGGGCGUAUACUUCAGAAAACUUUCCAAGAAUAUCAGAGUUCCAAACUCUUGACCAUUAGGUCUAUGGGAUAAAAUUAUUAUAAAUUUAGCUAAAAUUUGAUUCUAAAUCAGAAGCUGCUGUAAUUCAACAGAGAUACUACUUGUUAGAGAUACUGCACAAAAGUAUUACAAGUUUUCAUCAGAAUACUAUAUUCAGCUCUCGGUGAAUACAACAAGGUGUUGUUAAGGACAACCUGAUAGUCCGGGUCUUGGGAUUCCACAUUGGCAAAAUUGGAAUCGUUAUAAAUCAGUAAACACCAACGAGAAGUUGGUGUUUAGAUUUAUGAUCUGUAACUGGAGUUAAAGAGACGGGGACGGAAUCAUUGGUCUAGGUCUAUAUCCAGGAGACAGGAGCUGACGUCAGACAGAUAGUCAUCGUCAGGGAACUCAAGUGUGAAACCAAGAAUCAAAGAAGAAGAAUAAGCUAAGCAUCGUCAUUAUCAUUGAAUUGUAGAAACUGUUAAUAUUUCAUAUGUUUAUACUUCGUUCAUAAUCUGUAACCCUUGUUAGAGUAGUUUGUUGUAAUAAAGGUUUUCAUAAACCUAA